rnacentral:rRNA from 1 species
GACGAACCGUCCUAACGUUGUUCGGAAUCACUGGGCUUAAAGGGCGCGUAGGCGGGUUCCCAAGUCGGUGGUGAAAUCUUUCGGCCCAACCGGAAAACAGCCGCCGAUACUGGGAGUCUUGAGGGAGGUAGGGGUCGAUGGAACUUCCGGUGGAGCGGUGAAAUGCGUAGAUAUCGGAAGGAACGCCGGUGGCGAAAGCGGCUCACUGGCCCGGUACUGACGCUGAGGCACGAAAGCGUGGGGAGCAAACAGG